rnacentral:rRNA from 1 species
GAUGAACGCUGGCGGCGUGCCUAAUACAUGCAAGUCGAGCGAACAGACGAGGAGCUUGCUCCUCUGACGUUAGCGGCGGACGGGUGAGUAACACGUGGAUAACCUACCUAUAAGACUGGGAUAACUUCGGGAAACCGGAGCUAAUACCGGAUAAUAUAUUGAACCGCAUGGUUCAAUAGUGAAAGACGGUUUUGCUGUCACUUAUAGAUGGAUCCGCGCCGCAUUAGCUAGUUGGUAAGGUAACGGCUUACCAAGGCGACGAUGCGUAGCCGACCUGAGAGGGUGAUCGGCCACACUGGAACUGAGACACGGUCCAGACUCCUACGGGAGGCAGCAGUAGGGAAUCUUCCGCAAUGGGCGAAAGCUUGACGGAGCAACGCCGCGUGAGUGAUGAAGGUCUUCGGAUCGUAAAACUCUGUUAUUAGGGAAGAACAAAUGUGUAAGUAACUAUGCACGUCUUGACGGUACCUAAUCAGAAAGCCCCGGCUAACUACGUG